AGACGGUGGGAACCGCAGCCGGUACGAA
rnacentral:sRNA from 1 species